rnacentral:rRNA from 1 species
UACGAAGGGGGCUAGCGUUGCUCGGAAUUACUGGGCGUAAAGCGUGCGCAGGCGGUUUUUUAAGCCAGAUGUGAAAUCCCCGGGCUUAACCUGGGAAUGGCAUUUGGGACUGCAAGGCUGGAGUGUGGCAGAGGAGACUGGAAUUCCUGGUGUAGCAGUGAAAUGCGUAGAUAUCAGGAGGAAUACCGAUGGCGAAGGCAGGUCUCUGGGCUGACACUGACGCUCAUGCACGAAAGCGUGGGGAGCAAACAGG